rnacentral:rRNA from 1 species
UAACAAGGAUUCCCCUAGUAACUGCGAGUGAAGCGGGAAAAGCUCAAAUUUAAAAUCUGGCGGUCUCCGGCCGUCCGAGUUGUAAUCUAGAGAAGUGUUAUCCGCGCUGGACCGUGUACAAGUCUCCUGGAAUGGAGCAUCAUAGAGGGUGAGAAUCCCGUCUUUGACACGGACUGCCAGUGCUUUGUGAUGCGCUCUCAAAGAGUCGAGUUGUUUGGGAAUGCAGCUCAAAAUGGGUGGUAAAUUCUAUCUUAAGCUAAUUAUUU